ACGGGAAAACCUUCAUUGCUGAGAAGAUCCAGAUGCAGCAGCAGAUGGGACGGGCACUGGUGGUGGUGGUGGUGGUGGCGGGGCAGAACCUGAUGAAGUAGAUGCUGGUGGUGGUUGCACGCUUGUUGAAGCUGGUCCACUCACAGGUGGUGGAGGUCUUGAUGGUCCAGAGUGUUGAUAAUGUUGAGGUGGGCCUCGAGGUGGAGGCAUUGCUGAAUGGUAUGGUGGAUACUGUUGAUAAGGUGGCAUUGGUUGCAUGUACCCGUAUGGCGGAUAAUGUUGAUGAGGAUAUUGUCCAGGUGGAGGCGGCGGCAUACCUUGGUAAGAAUAGUGUUGUGCUUGUUGUUUAUCUGACCCAGGUUUGUUCUCCCCAUCCUUAGACGGAACCAGAGCACCCAUUCUUUGAGGGUCCAUUGAUGGAUAGUAGGCUCUAUCUAUCUGAGGUGGAGGUGGGAUAUUAAAGUACUGCAUAGGUGGUGGUUGGUCGUGCAUGCCAGGUCCAGAUGGCUGGAAUUGAUUCUGCUGCUGAGAUAUUACUGCCCGGGGCAACAUUCCGCUAUGAGCCACUGCUGCUUGCUGCCUGGAUCCAUCGGAGGUUUCUGACUCAGGCCUUGGAGCUUGG
rnacentral:lncRNA from 1 species